AGCGAACGCUGGCGGCAGGCCUAACACAUGCAAGUCGAACGAUCCUUCGGGAUAGUAGCGGACGGGUGAGUAACACGUGGGAAUAUGCCUUUUGGUUUGGGAUAACUGAGGGAAACUUCAGGCUAAUACCGGAUAAGCCCUAUGGGGGAAANAUUUAUCGCCGAAAGAGUAGCCCGNGUUGGAUUAGCUAGUUGGUGGGUAAUGGCCCACCAAGGCUACGAUCCAUAGCUGGUCUGAGAGGAUGAUCAGCCACACUGGGACUGAGACACGGCCCAGACUCCUACGGG
rnacentral:rRNA from 1 species